rfam:Gossypium hirsutum cultivar TM-1 chromosome 11, whole genome shotgun sequence
AAUCCAUGAUGUGGGCAUUUCUAAAUCAACGUCUUAAAAUGAUCCCAUGCUUCAUGAAAACUCUCCCUCUAAUUGUUUGAACAGAUAAAUUUCCCUUCUUAGUUG